rnacentral:rRNA from 1 species
UCAAGAAACUUCCACAAUGGGCGAAAGCCUGAUGGAGCGACGUCGCGUGAUGGACGAAGUGCUUCGGCACGUAAACAUCUUUUUAUGUGGGAUGAAAUUAUUGACAGUACCACAUGAAUAAGGGGCUCCUAACUCUGUGCCAGCAGGAGCGGUAAUACAGAGGCCCCAAGCGUUAUCCGGAAUCACUGGGCGUAAAGGGUGUCGAGGCGGUUGUAUUAGUCGUUCGUAAAAUCUACGAGCUUAACUUGUAGGCGGCGAACGAAACGGUACGACUUGAGGUUUGGAGAGGUGCGUGGAACUCACGGUGUAGGGGUGAAAUCCGUUGAUAUCGUGGGGAACACCAAAGGCGAAGGCAGCGCACUGGCCAAAAUCUGACGCUCACACACGAAAGCUAGGGUAGCGAAGAGGAUUAGAUACCCUUGUAGUCCCUGAGCGGGCUGGCAAGGCGCAU